rnacentral:rRNA from 1 species
GACGAACGCUGGCGGCGUGCUUAACACAUGCAAGUCGAACGGAAAGGCCCUGCUUGCAGGGUACUCGAGUGGCGAACGGGUGAGUAACACGUGGGUGAUCUGCCCUGCACUUCGGGAUAAGCCUGGGAAACUGGGUCUAAUACCGGAUAGGAGCCAUUUUUAGUGUGAUGGUUGGAAAGUUUUUUUCGGUGUAGGAUGAGCUCGCGGCCUAUCAGCUUGUUGGUGGGGUAAUGGCCUACCAAGGCGGCGACGGGUAGCCGGCCUGAGAGGGUGGACGGCCACCUUGGGACUGAGAUACGGCCCAGACUCCUACGGGAGGCAGCAGUGGGGAAUAUUGCACAAUGGGCGCAAGCCUGAUGCAGCGACACCGCGUGGGGGAUGACGGCCUUCGGGUUGUAAACUCCUUUCGCUAGGGACGAAGCUUUUUGUGACGGUACCUAGAUAAGAAGCACCGGCUAACUACGUG